CCAGGAAGUCAUAACCUCCUGUUCCUGACUUGGACUUUCUCCUUUGUCCUAUGUCUGGAGACUUCUUGGAAGCUGGAGCACACAAAUAGCUACAGCAAACUUGAGGAAUGGGCAUGAAUAGACUGGCUUCGGGGAACCUGCCAGCUUGGCCGUGUGGCCAAGGUAAUAGGCAAGCCAAGGCACAGCUAGAGCUCAGAGCUGGAGGGGAAAUUAAAGCAGCAAAUGUAGAAACAUUAAGCCUGAAGAGGCGACAACGUUGAAUUCUAAAAUGCAGGCCAAAGCUCAGACUGCAAGCUGUCUGGCUGCUCCGGGUGUGCCCAGAAGUCAAAGUCCAGCAGGGGCAAAGGUGGAGGUGUGGUCCUGCAUGUGGGGUGUUGGGGGGAUGUGGAAGAGGAGGUGCUUUAAGAUCCAAAGAUUCCAGCUGCCCUGAUCUACCCUUGGAAGAAUAAAAGGCUAGGAACUGGACAAGUCAGGCUCAAGUCCAAGCUGCCUAAGGAAUCAGGGAAAGAAUGGAGCUAAGAGUGGGAGGUCAGGGCAGUAUCUAAAAAUCCAGGAUAGCAGCAAAGCUGGCGGUGGCCCCUGACUCUGGUAAGGGCAGCCUGCAGCACCAUGCCAAGGGGGGCCUGACUGAUCAUGCCCUGCAUUUGCAAACAAGGAUUAGUAGGGUAUGAGUAGGAUUCUGCUGGUGCCUGGGAAGGCAAUGCCAUCUACAUCUUUACAAAGUUUUAACAAAGGCCUGAAGGACACAACCUUCCCCAAAGUCCUGACGUCGCUGUUUGCUGGCAACAAAUAGAGUCAAAAGAAGAGAGGCACAGAAUGUGCCACGGGUGUGCUGCAUACAGCCCCGAUGACCACAAGGCCUUCUUGGGUCAAGUUCUGCCAUCUCUGGUUAAGAUGGGCUCACCCUCUAGGACCUUGAUUGAGUCCUCAGACCACCAAGAGUGCCCCACCAAGAGCCUCCCUCUUCUGGUGACUCGUGCCUGCUUCCCGUGGAGAGCUCCAGAAGGGAGGAAACUGUGAGGAGGUGGAGAACGUGGCAGGGAUCCUAACUUUCUUACUGAAGGAAGUUCUUAACAAGUACCCAUCUGCCUUCAGGGAAGAAAACAUAACUCAUUUUGGUCUUUCAAAUUCAGUUCUCAAAACCAAAUCCUGUUGUCAGCAAUCUGUGUCCCAACGCCUUCUUCAGCAACAGCAUUUUCCCUGUGGAAUUAGUUUCCAAUGUUCUUUCUUAAAUAAACCACUGAAGAUUAAAAGGAAUCCAGAUACCCACCACAUUUUGUUUCCUUAAUGAGUAAUUAUCACAUUUCUUUGGCUACUUAAAUGCAUUCUCUGAGUCAGGUAAAGGAGAUCGUA
rnacentral:lncRNA from 1 species